GAUACAUGCGUACAAACACUUAGCCAAAUCAGAAAACAUAACCCUUAGCCACUGAAAACAUAACACUCGAUCAUCACUACCCUUAGCUUUUCCCUUCUUCGCGCUACUCAUCACCCCCAAAUCAGAGAAAGGGAUCGCCAUCACCAGUCAACACUCACCACUCACCACUCACCAUCUCCACCAGUCACUCAUAUUCGUCACUCACCACUCACCACGCCAUCACUAGUCUUCAUCGUCGCUUCUGUUCGCUGCGCUCUCACAUUAGGUAAAUUUUUUCCCCUUUUCGUAUCCAUUCAGCCUCACUCACGCACUCUCAUCCUCCCUCAACUCACACACACGAAAGAGAAGAAAUCAGAAAAGGGGAGCACAGGAAGAAGAAGAGAAGAAGAGAGGAGAGGGGAAGGAAGGAAAGAAACGACGACGCCGCAUAUGGCUCCACCGCUGUCGAGCGCCAGUGAAAGAGAGCUCGAGGGAGAGAGAAAACGCGAUGGAGGAGAGAAGAAAGGGGUGCUUGGUCGCCGCUGAAACUCCACCGCCAUUGCUAGGGCUUCUUCCACCGCUAUCAUCUCCUCAAGAUUCAGAUUCCCUUCUUCUCUUGCAUCAAUUUCUCGUUCCACGCUAUCAUCUCCUCUCUCUCCGCUUUUCAGAUCCUCAUUCAAUUUCUCAUCAUCUCGUUCUUCUCGCCAUCAUAUCGUGGUCAAAGCCACCGAUGACUCUUCCAACCUAUCCGGUGAUGAUCCUUUUCGAUCUUUCCCGUGGUUCCAAUCUGACUCUGAAAUUCAAUGGGUUCAUGAGGAUAGAAUUACAUUGUUCACCGCUGAUGGACUGGUGCAGAUUGGAGGCUCCAUCACCCCUCGCCAUGUUAGCUCUUCAGAUGUAGUACCGAAGACUAUUGGAAAAGAUAGGAUGCUGCUCAAGUAAUGGAUCAGUUAGUAUGGGAAGGACUUGGACUCGGAGGAGGGACAUAUGUCCGAAACUGGGGCAGCCUAGUUUAUCAGGCUAUUUCAAUAGCAAAUAAUGCAUGCUGGGCUAUUGGAGAACUUGCAGUUAAGAUUUGAGUUAUCUUCUGUGGUCACCACAUUUUAAAGCAACAGCGACAACUUUAAAAGAUGAACUUGGAGACAUGAAGGCCUAACAGUAGCAACAAGAGGAAGAGAUUCAUGGAUUGUGGAAUAUGGUUUAGUUAUUAGAAAAUACUUAUGUAAGAUAUAAUAUUUUAGUUUUUCGUAGAGUAUUAGUAGUAAAUUUUAAGUGGUCUCUUGCUUAUUUUGAUAUGACUAUGCUUAAUUUGGUGUGAGAUGUAUGAAUAUUCAAAAUUAAUUUCAUUUUAAUACUUUUGGUUCUUUAUAAA